ACAGUCCCGGCUGGAAGUCACAGCCAGGGUGGGAUGCACACAGAUUAGCAGAUCAUCAGCGAGCACCAGAUAUGGCCGCCUUAAAAGAUGCAGAUGCUGUUGUGAUCAGCAUGAAGUUUCCCUGUGAGGCUGUGGUCAGCGUGGACAUCAGCCAGCACUGCACAGACAGCUGCGACCAGGACGUCAGCCAGCACUGCACAGACAGCUGCAACCAGGACGUCAGCCAGCACUGCACACACAGCUGCGACCAGGAUGUCAGCCAGCACUGCACAGACAGCUGCAACCAGAGACUGGAGGUGACGCCUGCCCUUUUCCACCCUUCGCCAGUCCACUGUGAAAAGCUGGGUUGAUUGUGCAGGUUAGAUAGAGGUCAUCAGCCAGGUUGAUUGUGUGGGUUAGAUAGAGAUCAUCAGCCUGGUGGAUUGUGUGGGUUAGAUAGAGAUCAUCAGCUGGGUUGAUUGUGCGGGUUAGAUAGAGGUCAUCAGCUUGGUUGAUUGUGCGGGUUAGAUAGAGAUCAUCAGCCUGGUUGAUUCUACAGGUUAGAUAGAGAUCAUCAGCUGGGUUUAUUGUGUGGGUUAGAUAGAGAUCAUCAGCUUGGUUGAUUGUGCGGGUUAGAUAGAGGUCGUCAGCCGGGUUGAUUGUGCGGGUUAGAUAGAGAUCAUCAGCCGGGUUGAUUGUGUGGGUUAGAUAGAGAUCAUCAGCCGGGUUGAUUGUGUGGGUUAGAUAGAGAUCAUCAGCCGGGUUGAUUGUGCGGGUUAGAUAGAGAUCAUCAGCCGGGUUGAUUGUGCGGGUUAGAUAGAGAUCAUCAGCCGGGUUGAUUGUGUGGGUUAGAUAGAGAUCAUCAGCCGGGUUGAUUGUGUGGGUUAGAUAGAGGUCAUCAGCCGGGUUGAUUGUGUGGGUUAGAUAGAGAUCAUCAGCCGGGUUGAUUGUGUGGGUUAGAUAGAGAUCAUCAGCCGGGUUGAUUGUGUGGGUUAGAUAGAGGUCAUCAGCAGGGUUGAUUGUGUGGGUUAGAUAGAGGUCAUCAGCCGGGUUGAUUGUGUGGGUUAGAUAGAGGUCAUCAGCCGGGUUGAUUCUGUGGGUUAGAUAGAGGUCAUCAGCUGGGUUGAUUGUGUGGGUUAGAUAGAGGUCAUCAGCCGGGUUGAUUGUGCGGGUUAGAUAGAGGUCAUCAGCUGGGUUGAUUGUGCGGGUUAGACAGAGGUCAUCAGCUAGGUUGAUUAUGUGGGUUAGAUAGAGGUCAUCAGCCGGGUUGAUUGUAUGGGUUAGAUAGAGGUCAUCAGCCGGGUUGAUUGUGUGGGUUAGAUAGAGAUCGUCAGCCGGGUUGAUUCCGCAGGUUAGAUAGAGGUCGUUAGCUGGGUGUGUGGGUCCCAAGGCAUGCUGCAGAUGGAGAAUCAGAAUUCCUUGGGCAUCACCGGGCGCGGCAUGUCCCUGUCCCUUCGCUCCCAGACCCAGGCUAGCCGCUACCAGGACUCCUAUCGAGAGCUCUUCAGACACUUUGUCAGAACCCUUAAAGGUGGGUGACGUUUUCAGGAGGAACCUGGGAUGUCCUGAUGCUCAAUGGGUAGAUGCCUUCCAGGCUGCAGUGAGUGCAGAUGAUAUGCCAAUUUCAGGUGGAAAAUUGCAUUCCAGAUACUGGGUUCAGAUUUGAAAUUGUCCAUCUCAGUGAUCAUUUACGUUGCGUGUACUUGAGGGAGAUUCUGAGAGAUGCUCCUUUGGGGUUCUGUGCGUGUACCAUGUUGCCUGACACGUCCUGAG
rnacentral:lncRNA from 1 species